UAACCUCUGACGAAAACCGUGAAUGUUA
rnacentral:ncRNA from 1 species